UGAAACAUCAAGCAUGGUAUGUGGUGACUGUCAGUGUUGAUCGAGGAAGGAGAACACUCAGGCCGUCGACCGUUCAUCCAUUUCGUUAGCUGCACCAAGCCUAUUGUGUCCUUGUAUUCGAUGGGCACACAAUCAUGAAGCAUGGCGUCUGAGCUGUGUUCACAGAGCGGGGAGAUGCUCUUGCUGCUAUCUUAUCUGUCCUGUGUAUUCCCAAGUGCCGAAGGCUCACAACGAUGGUGUUGGACAAGUCAGAUAAAAUAGAGUCAACAUCGUCACACGGUGCUGUGACCAAGAUACGGAUCAUGCCGAACGCUGAUUCAACUGGACGAAUCGCGAGGCUUUUCAGAUGCAGGGACACAAUGGAAACUGAAUGACUUCAGAACAGCACUGCUUGGCGCGUCUAUACAGCAUCAUUUGGCACAGCAAGAUGACAAAACAGCUAGCAGUGGCUAUUGCCUUGGUGAGAAAAUUUUCUGCUGUGCCAUUGGAGUGUGCACGAUACACGAACCCUGCUCUUUUGUUGGCACCGCCUAUGUAACUUACUGCAUAGGGUGCAAGGUGACCGUUGUCGGUUUACAUGUACUCCAGUUAUUACACCGUGCAUGCACUGAGUCUGUGCUGCACUGUGCAUCCAUAGGUGUUCGUUUGCGGUAGCGCAAGGUGACACGCAAGGUUGAUGGAUUGUUUUGUCCGCUGCUAUUCGAAGCUCUCGGAGUCGGAAGCGUUACCUCUGUUUCCCCUGUUCCUCCCUGCGCGGAGUCUGUAGUUCUGGCUUGCAGUUGCUGUUACAUGCAUGUUGGCAGUUGCAUGUGUUUUGGUUUUCAGUUGUCUUUAUCAAGUUGUUUUGUGUGGACGACAGUUCAAUAUUCUAGCAGUUGUUGCACUUCCUACUUCUGAAGUACAUUCCGUAGUUAUCUGCGGUUGGUGUUCGAGAGAGCAAACUGUGUUCUUCUCCAGAGUGGAGUAAACCAUUCG